UGGAAAAGGAAUGUAACAACAUGAAUCAUAAAAAAAGCCUGGUGAGAAGAUUAAAGCUGUAUUCUCAUAGCCACUUGCCCAUGGCUUUUUCAACAAAAGGAUUGAAUACCUGGCCUCACUCAGCCACCAUGCUACUGUGAAUGAGAACUUCAA